CCUACGGGAGGCAGCAGUGAGGAAUAUUGGUCAAUGGGCGGGAGCCUGAACCAGCCAAGUCGCGUGAGGGAUGACGGCCCUAUGGGUUGUAAACCUCUUUUGCCGGGGAGCAAAGUGCCGCACGUGUGCGGUUUGGAGAGUACCCGGAGAAAAAGCCUUGGCUAACCCCGUGCCAGCAGCCGCGGUAAUACGGAGGAUGCGAGCGUUAUCCGGAUUUAUUGGGUUUAAAGGGUGCGUAGGCGGACGCUUAAGUCAGCGGUAAAAUUGCGGGGCUCAACCUCGUCGAGCCGUUGAAACUGGGUGCCUUGAGUGGGCGAGAAGUACGCGGAAUGCGUGGUGUAGCGGUGAAAUGCAUAGAUAUUAGGAAGAACACCAGUGGCGAAGGCGGCUUUCUGGACUGAGACUGACGCUGAGGCUCGAAAGCGUGGGGAGCGAACAGGAUUAGAUACCCUAGUAGUC
rnacentral:rRNA from 1 species